UACAGAGGGCUCAAGCGUUGUUCGGAUUCAUUGGGCGUAAAGGGUGCGUAGGUGGCGCCGUAAGUCGGGUGUGAAAUUUCGGAGCUUAACUCCGAAACUGCAUUCGAUACUGCGGUGCUUGAGGACUGGAGAGGAGACUGGAAUUUAUGGUGUAGCAGUGAAAUGCGUAGAGAUCAUAAGGAAGACCAGUGGCGAAGGCGGGUCUCUGGACAGUUCCUGACACUGAGGCACGAAGGCCAGGGGAGCAAACGGG
rnacentral:rRNA from 1 species